CUGACCCAUCGUCGUUUUCCCCAAAACCACCGAGAUCCCGACCUCUCUUCCCACUUCUCUUCUCCCUCACACGCUCUCUGCUCUUGAAGCCAUCGCCGACAUGGUAGCCGCCGAUCAUCUUCUCUUCGUCGAUGCAGCCUCAUCGCCGAUCGCCAGAGAGAUCGCACCGACGGGCCGAGCCUCCCUCUCAAGGUGUGGAGUCUUUUCCUCUUCUUCUCCACUUCUUCUCAUGUGAUCGGAGCAGACGACGCCAUCUUUAGCCCUAAGUCGCCGUUGUCGGGAGGGGAGGAGCUGUCUGCGUUCAUUCCCAUCGCGCUGAUCGUCGGCUCUCGCCAUCCUUCGGUGCUUGAUCGUGCCCUAGAUCCACCAUCGAUGUUGCCUAUGUUGCGAUGUCAGCGGACGCCGCUCGACGCUGUGUUGCUUGACGGACACAGCGCGAUCAUUGUUACUGGAAGGGGAGGAGAUAUCACCUCCUCUGGCAUUCCUUGUGCGCGAUCAUUGUUGAUUCGACAUCUAGCGCACCGCGACGAUUGUCUAGGGGAAAACAUUGGAACAGCUACUAGAUGGAAUUCCUCCGGGCAGAUCACCGUCCUUUGCGUUCUUGCGGCCGAGUAAGGCUUCGGUUGAAGAUUUGGGGCUGUUUGAGGUGAGUAGAGCUCUGUUGGUUAAGGAUUUUAGUAAACUAAUUGCUCUACAGUUGGAUUCUGGAUUUAUUUUGAGGAAGAAGGGGUGUUGUUCCAAGGGUCCAGCUACCCUUUGCUUCUUCCCUCGUCUUCAAGGUGUUGCUGGUCAGUUGCUUGGAGUCAUCCGAUCUUCACCAGAAGAGUGAGUGAUGGAGAGGAGUAUGCUGGUAAUAGAUUGAGUUUUGGCCAGAUUUGUAGGUCAGUGAACCAUCGGAGAAAAGAUUGUUGACAUGGAAUUAAGUUAGAAGGUGAUGGAGAUGUGGGCAGCAGUAAGCAUCACACCCGUGAUUUUCAACAGUGGGUUGCACUUCGAAUGAGGAUCCGAAUUGGAUGUGAUCAUCUGGAGUUGUUGAAGACGGUUGACACGCACUACGUAUAAAGGCGGGUAUUUCUUGCUCUAUCUCUUUAGUAUUUUGACCCUAGUGCAUGAGCUUUAUAUUCAGAUAGAUACUGUAUUUAUCUUGACUCU